rnacentral:rRNA from 1 species
CCCUUAGCUGUUCUGGGCUGCACGCGCGCUACACUGAAGCUAUCAACACGUUUUCCCUCCCUGAGAAGGGCGGGUAACCUUUUGAAUCAGCUUCGUGGUAGGGAUCGGGGCUUGCAAUUGUUCCCCGUGAACCAGGAAUUCCUAGUAGACGCGAGUCAUAAGCUCGCAUCGAUUAAGUCCCUGCCCUUUGUACACACCGCCCGUCGCUACUACCGAUUGAACGUUUUAGUGAGGCAUUUGGACCGACGCAUCUCAGUUUAACCGCUGGUUUGUGUUGGAAAGACUUCCAAACUUGAGCGUUUAGAGGAAGUAAAAGUCGUAACA